rnacentral:rRNA from 1 species
AUACGUAGGUGGCAAGCGUUGUCCGGAUUUACUGGGCGUAAAGGAUGCGUAGGCGGAUAUUUAAGUGAGAUGUGAAAUUCCCGGGCUUAACUUGGGAGCUGCAUUUCAAACUGGAUAUCUAGAGUGUGGGAGAGGAGAAUGGAAUUCCUAGUGUAGCGGUGAAAUGCGUAGAGAUUAGGAAGAACACCAGUGGCGAAGGCGAUUCUCUGGACCAUAACUGACGCUGAGGCAUGAAAGCGUGGGUAGCAAACAGGAUUAGAUACCCUGGUAGUCCACGCCGUAAACGAUGAGUACUAGGUGUAGGAGGGUACAACCUUCUGUGCCGCAGUUAACACAAUAAGUACUCCGCCUGGGAAGUACGAUCGCAAGAUUAAA